AUUGAACGCUGGCGGCAUGCCUUACACAUGCAAGUCGAACGGUAACAGGUCUCCGGAUGCUGACGAGUGGCGAACGGGUGAGUAAUACAUCGGAACGUGCCUAGUAGUGGGGGAUAACCACUCGAAAGAGUGGCUAAUACCGCAUGAGAUCUACGGAUGAAAGCAGGGGAUCGCAAGACCUUGUGCUACUAGAGCGGCCGAUGGCAGAUUAGGUAGUUAGUGGGAUAAAAGCUUACCAAGCCGACGAUCUGUAGCUGGUCUGAGAGGACGAUCAGCCACACUGGGACUGAGACACGGCCCAGACUCCUACGGGAGGCAGCAAUGGGGAAUUUUGGACAAUGGGCGAAAGCCUGAUCCAGCAAUGCCGCGUGCAGGAUGAAGGCCUUCGGGUUGUAAACUGCUUUUGUACGGAACGAAAAGCCCCGGGUUAAUACCCUGGGGUCAUGACGGUACCGUAAGAAUAAGCACCGGCUAACUACGUGCCAGCCGCCGCCGUAA
rnacentral:rRNA from 1 species